rnacentral:rRNA from 1 species
UAGGGAAUCUUCCACAAUGGGCGAAAGCCUGAUGGAGCAACGCCGCGUGUGUGAUGAAGGGCUUCGGCUCGUAAAACACUGUUGUAAGAGAAGAAUGACAUUGAGAGUAACUGUUCAUACGUUGACGGUAUUUAACCAGAAAGUCACGGCUAACUACGUGCCAG